UCCUAUCUUCAUUAGAAUAUCUUUCCACCUCCCUUUGUUUCUCCUCUUAUAUAAACCCCUUGAUGAUAAAACAGGUCCGUUAACUAUUGUUAUCCGAGCCGAGUUAUCUAAAAUACGAACCCUCGACUCGAGAUUCAUUACACCACGACGAUUUGUUGUUCUCUACCUCUGAAAGUCAGAGUCGAGAAAGUUAUAAAGUAAGAUGAGCAAGAAAUAAAAGAGUAAAAAAAAAGAAAGAUUGUGGAUGCGCAGUUGUAUGAGAAUAAUUUCAGUAGAGGAGGAAACUAUAUGGAGAGGAGCAAGCAAGAAGCUUCACCCGAGAAAGUAAAUUCAUCUUACUGUCAGCAGAAAGAAUAAGUCUGAUAAGAAGAAAGAAGGUGAUGAUGAUGAGAUCAACAGCAGAUUGAGUUUGGGAACACUUUCCUUCCAGCCUAACUUCCUGUUUCCGGUUUAGGUACGUUCACCUAGAACCUGAGAUUUACCUGGAUCCAAAGAAAUAUGAACCUUCAAGAUGGGAGGUAUGUAGAUAUACCAGAUUUGUGGUGCAUUCAACAAUUAAACUCUCUUUGUAAUUUGUAGUUGUUGUUGCAAAAGAGUAGCUAAACACUGUCAAGUUCAUUCUACAAGGAUACAUGCCAAAACCAGGUACAUUCCUUCCUUUUCAUUUAUGAAGCGAUCUUUGUGCCGGGAACGAUCUUGCAAAGCUCGAGAUUUCCAUUUUUCUUCAUCUUUGACCACUGAAGAUGGGGUUAGCUACUGUCGCUUUGAAGCUGUGGGUUAUGACUUCAACACUAUCCAGCUGAAUCAGCUGGUGAGAAGGCUUCUGUCUUGCUUUGAUCCCAACAAAUUCUCUGUAGAGUGUCGCUGUGAGCGCGUACAAGCCGGAAAUUAGUGUAUACUUGGAAGAUUAUGGGUUUAGAGAGAGGACAUUUGAGUCUCUAGGAGAAGAGGGUAGACCAGUGAUGUAUCAUACGUUUGAGAAGCUUGGCAAGUAGUGUGCGUCGCCUAGAUCCACCUUGAAGUAGGACUGGAGCAGGCUGAGCAGCAAUAACAAAGGGACACGAGGGAAUCUAGCAGAAUUUUAUCUAAACUAUUUUCGAUCUUUUUGUUUUUGCAUUUUUUAAAGUAGUGAAUAAUGAUUUCUGAAAUUAAGGUAUUCCGUUCACAAGCAUGUGUGUUGUACAAUUUCGCUUUAAUACAGUAUAUGGAAUACUAUUAUGAUUUACAGCUU